rnacentral:tRNA from 1 species
GAAAGAACUAAGAACUGCUAACUCUUUAUUCCAUGACUUAAAAACAUGGCUUCCUUA